rnacentral:rRNA from 1 species
AUACGGAGGGUCCGAGCGUUAAUCGGAAUUACUGGGCGUAAAGCGCGCGUAGGCGGAUAUUUAAGUCAGAUGUGAAAUCCCUGGGCUCAACCUAGGAACUGCAUUUGAAACUGGAUAUCUAGAGUACGGUAGAGGUGAGUGGAAUUUCAGGUGUAGCGGUGAAAUGCGUAGAGAUCUGAAGGAACAUCAGUGGCGAAGGCGACUCACUGGGCCAUUACUGACGCUGAGGUGCGAAAGCGUGGGUAGCAAACAGGAUUAGAUACCCUGGUAGUCC